ensembl:lncRNA LINC02604 long intergenic non-protein coding RNA 2604
UUUUCCUUCGUGGCGGCCUCUCCAGGCCCAAAUUGGCAAGCCUCCCCUGUCCUGGUGGCUGUCUCCCGGCCUACUCUCCAGGCCCAGCACACUCUCGCGGCUGUACCUCCAGGCCCAGCCCCUGCCUGCAGACAGCCGCUUUUGACUCGGUUCGUGCCCAGCUCCUGGCGGCCUUUGUAGGCCCGAAACCUCCUCCAGCACAGCUCUUCAGGCCCACCUGUGGCCUCGCAGCGGCCUUCCCAGGCCCAGCUCUUGCCUCACGGCGGCCUUCCCCGGCUGUAUUCCUGCCAGCCUCUCGGCGGCCUCAAAAAGCCCGGCGCCUGCCUCACACUGGGGUCUCUAGGCCCAGCUCACGCCUGACGGUGGUCUCUCAAGGCCCAGCUCCCGCCCACCCCGACCGGCCCAAGGCUUUCUCAAGUUGGCCCAUCCAGGGCCCAAUUCCUGCCCUCCGCUGAUGGCCUGUGCAGACCCAAAGUAUCCUGAAGUCGGCCUCGCCGGGCCUAGCUCCUGCCUGUCAUAGGCCCCUAGAAGCACGGCCUCUGCCUUCUAAAAGUGGAACCCCCCAGUCCCAGCUGUUGCCUCAGCGUGGCCACAUCAGCCGAAGCUCCUGCCCUGCCUGUUGGCAGCCUCCAUGGGCCAAGCUCUUGCCUCUCACCAUCCUCUCCAGGCCCAGUACUGUUUCCAGCCGGCCUCUCCAGGCCCAACUCUCCCUCUCAGCUGUGCCUGCCGGCCCAGCUCCUACCUCGCAAAAGCCACGUUCGGCCCAGCUCCUGCCCAGCUCCUGGCAGCCUUUGUAAACCCCAGGAUCCUCUAAGUCAGGCCUUUCAGGCCCUGCCUUUGGCUCCCCGGUGGCAUGGAGAGGCCCAGCUCCUGCCUGACAGCGGCCUCUCCAGGCCCAGCUCUUGCCUCACGUUGGCCUCCCUGGGCCACGUUUCCGCCUGCCUCGCGGCAGCCCCGACAAUCCCGGCUCCUGCCUCCCGAUGGCAUCUUUAGGCUCAUCUCGUGCCUCACCACGGCCUGCACCAGGCCACACUCCUGCCUUUCGGUGGCCUCCGCGGGCCUGACUCCUGCGUCCCAAUGGCCUCUUUAGGCCCGGCUCGUGCCUCGCCGCGGCCUCCUGAGGCCCACCUUUGCCCUUCUGGCAGCCUCUCCAGGCCCAGGACUUCCUCAAGUCGGCCUCUGCCAGCCCAGUGGCCGCCUCCCGGCCUCCUCUCCGGGCCCAGCUCCUUGCUCGUGGCUGCGCCCGCGGGCCCAGCUCCUGCCUCUGAACAUCCUCCUGUGACUCGGCUCCUGCCCAGCUCCCAGCGGCCUCCGUAGACCCGAAGCCUCCUCCGGUCCAGCUCUCCAGGCCUGCCUCCUGCCUCGUGGCGGCCUUCCCCGGCCAUGCUCGUGCCGGCUUCCCGGCAGCCUCCACGAGCCCGGCUCCUGCCUCACGCGGGCCCCUCCAGGCCCAGCUCGUGCCUCGCGGCGGCCUCUCCAGGCCCGGCUCCCGCCCAGCCCGACGGCGUCUCCCAGCCCAAGGCUCCCUUCCUCAACGUCGGCCCCUCUGGGCCCAGCUCCUGCCUCCCGCUGAUGGCCUGUGCGGGCCCACCCGAGGCGGCCCGAAGUCGGCCUCGCCAGGCCCAGCUCCUGCCUGGCGUAGGCCCCUGGGGGCACGGCCUCUGCCCCACAGUGGCCCCUCCGGGCCCAGCUCGUGCCUCGGCUUGGCCGCCUCAGGCCCAGCUCCUGCCUGUGGGCGGCCUCUCUCCAGACCCGGCUCUCGCCUCCCGGCAUCCUCUCCAGGCCCAGAGCUGUUUCCAGUUGCUAGACCAUUUUUGUGCCUGCCUCGUUGCAGCAUCUCCAAGCCCAGCUUUUGCUUUUCUGCAGUUUCUUGAGGCCGAACUCCAUUUUUCGAAUGGCUUAUUUAGGCCCAGCUCUUGCGUUUGCAUUGUCCCUUCAGGCCCAGAACUUUCUCACGUCAUCGUCACCAGGCCUAGCUUCUGCAUCUGGUCAGCCUUUUAAGGCCCAGCUUUUGCCUCAUAAACUCAGCUCCUGUUUAAUGGCGGCCUCCCAGGUCCCACCUUCUGCCUUCCUGUGUCCACUCCAGGCCCAGCUACUGCCUUGGUGCUCUUUUUAAGUCAAUAAUUUUUUCCAGUCGACCUCUCCAGGCCCAACUUGUACCUCUGAGUGUCCUCUAGGAUCUCAGCUUCUGCCUAACAAUGACCUCUUUAGACUCAGCUCAUUUUCACUGCUACAUCUUCAAGCCAUUCUCCUGCCUCUUGGCAACCUCUAGUGGCCCAGCUUCUGCCUCACAGCAGCCUCUCCAUGCAUGCCUAGCUCCUGCCUCUUUAGGGAACUUACAGGCCUAAAACUUUCUUAAUUUGGGCUUCUCAGGCCCAGCUCCUGCCUUCUGUUGGCCUCUACAGGCCUGGCAUCAUCCUUUCAACAGCCUCUUUAGGCCCGGCCUCUCCAGGACCAAAACAUCCUUAAGUCAACCUCACCAGGCCCGGCUCCUGUCUCCUUGCGGCCUCCAGAGGCCGAGCUUUUGCCUGCCAAUGGCCUCUCUAGCCCCAGCUUUUGCCUGCCAAUGGCCUCUCUAGCCCCAGCUUCUGCCUUUCAUCGGUCUCUCCAGGCUUAGCUCCUUUCUCUUCACGGCCUCUGCAGGCCUAAAACUUCCUCAAUUUGGCAUCUCCAGGCCCAGCUCCUGCCUCCAGGCCGCCUCUGCAGGCCUAUCUCAAGCCUUACAACAGCCUCUUUACCCCCAGCUCCUUUCUCCGACUUGUCUCUCCAGGCCUAGAACUUCCUCAUGUUUACCUCACCAGGCCCACCUCCUGCCUUCCAGUAGCGUCUACAAGUUUGGCUCCUGCCUCCCAUGGAUCUCUCCAGGCCCCAAACUUUCUCAAGUCAACCUCACCAGGCCCGGCUUCUCCCUUUCAUCAGCCUUCCAAAGGCCAGCUUUUGCUUCAUGUCUGCCUUCCGAGUCCCAGCUCCUGUUUUAUGGCAGCCUCCUGAGGCCCAGCUCCUGCCUCCUAGUGGCCUCUUUUGGCCCAACUCUUUCCUCACCAGGGCCUUCCAGACCACGUUCCUGCCUUUUAGCAGCCACUACAGGCCCAGCUUUGCGUCCUUUCAAGAGUCCUGCCUCACAGUGGCCUCCCAAGGGCAACUUUCUGCCUCAUGUCAGCCUCUUGUGCCCUGGUCCUGCUUCCUGGUAGACUCUGCAGGCCCUGCUCCUGCCUUACGUUGCCCCUUUUAUAAAGAUCCAGUUCCUGCCUCCUGGCUGCCUCUAUGAGCCCAAAUCCUGCCUAACAACAACCUGUUUUUGCCCAGCUCCUGCUUCCUGGCAGCCUCCUUAGGCCAAAAAUUUCCUUCAGUUGACCUCUCCAGGCCCAGCUCCUGCCUCUCAGCACCCUCUUUAGGCCCAGCUCCUGCCUUAAUAAAUUUGAAUAAAUUAUUGUUAUGUGA